AUAGUUAAAUUCAUUUCCCCUUCAACCAAUUUCUCUGUCAGGGAAGCCCGGUGCGAAUCCGGCACUGUCCCGCAACUGUAAUGGGAGAAGACGCCGCAAGAAGCCACUGUCUUUUGGGAUGGGAAGGCGCGGCGGUUUGACACCCUGAGUCAGGAUAUCUGGCCGAGAAAUGCAUUCGUC
rnacentral:ncRNA from 2 species